rnacentral:rRNA from 1 species
AGUGAACGCUAGCGGUGCGCCUAACACAUGCAAGUCGAGCGAGAAAUUUUGGUGCUUGCACUAAGAAUGGACAGCGGCGAACGGGUGAGUAACACGUUGGUAUCUGCCCCCAGGUCAGGGAUAGCCAUUCGAAAGAAUGAUUAAUACCGGAUAGUCUCUUCGGAGUAAAGAUUUAUCGCCUAGGGAGGAACCUGCGGUCCAUCAGCUUGUUGGUAAGGUAACGGCUUACCAAGGCUAUGACGGAUAACUGGUCUGAGAGGAUGACCAGUCACAAUGGAACUGAGACACGGUCCAUACUCCUACGGGAGGCAGCAGUGAGGAAUCUUCCACAAUGGACGAAAGUCUGAUGGAGCGACACCGCGUGAAGGAUGACGGCCUAACGGUUGUAAACUUCUUUUCUGAAGGAGCACAAUGAGAGUACUUCAGGAAUAAGGGGGGGCUAAUUAUG